rnacentral:rRNA from 1 species
AGCAGCCGCGGUAAUUCCAGCUCCAAUAGCGUAUAUUAAAGUUGUUGCAGUUAAAAAGCUCGUAGUUGAAUUUCGGGGUCAGUACGCCGGUCGUGCCUUCGGUAUGCACUGGUGUCACUGAUUCCUCCCUUCUGAAGAACCGUUAUGCCAUUCAUUUGGUGUGACGGGGAAUCAGGACUGUUACUUUGAAAAAAUUAGAGUGUUUAAAGCAGGCUCGCGCUUGAAUACAUUAGCAUGGAAUAAUGAAAUAGGACGUUUGAUCUUAUUUUGUUGGUUUCUAGGAUCGACGUAAUGAUUAAUAGGGAUAGUUGGGGGCAUUAGUAUUCAAUUGUCAGAGGUGAAAUUCUUGGAUUUAUUGAAGACUAACUACUGCGAAAGCAUUUGCCAAGGAUGUUUUCAUUAAUCAAGAACGAAAGUUAGGGGAUCGAAGACGAUCAGAUACCGUCGUAGUCUUAACCAUAAACUAUGCCGACUAGGGAUCGGAUGAUGUUAUUUUUAAUGACUCAUUCGGCGCCUUACG